rnacentral:rRNA from 1 species
ACGUAUACGGUGUGACGCCUGCCCGGUGCCGGAAGGUUAAUUGAUGGGGUUAGCGGCAACGCGAAGCUCUUGAUCGAAGCCCCGGUAAACGGCGGCCGUAACUAUAACGGUCCUAAGGUAGCGAAAUUCCUUGUCGGGUAAGUUCCGACCUGCACGAAUGGCGUAAUGAUGGCCAGGCUGUCUCCACCCGAGACUCAGUGAAAUUGAACUCGCUGUGAAGAUGCAGUGUACCCGCGGCAAGACGGAAAGACCCCGUGAACCUUUACUAUAGCUUGACACUGAACAUUGAGCCUUGAUGUGUAGGAUAGGUGGGAGGCUUUGAAGCGUGGACGCCAGUCUGCGUGGAGCCAACCUUGAAAUACCACCCUUUAAUGUUUGAUGUUCUAACGUAGACCCGUGAUCCGGGUUGCGGACAGUGUCUGGUGGGUAGUUUGACUGGGGCGGUCUCCUCCUAAAGAGUAACGGAGGAGCACGAAGGUUAGCUAAUCCUGGUCGGACAUCAGGAGGUUAGUGCAAUGGCAUAAGCUAGCUUGACUGCGAGCGUGACGGCGCGAGCAGGUGCGAAAGCAGGUCAUAGUGAUCCGGUGGUUCUGAAUGGAAGGGCCAUCGCUCAACGGAUAAAAGGUACUCCGGGGAUAACAGGCUGAUACCGCCCAAGAGUUCAUAUCGACGGCGGUGUUUGGCACCUCGAUGUCGGCUCAUCACAUCCUGGGGCUGAAGUAGGUCCCAAGGGUAUGGCUGUUCGCCAUUUAAAGUGGUACGCGAGCUGGGUUUAGAACGUCGUGAGACAGUUCGGUCCCUAUCUGCCGUGGGCGCUGGAGAAUUGAGGGGGGCUGCUCCUAGUACGAGAGGACCGGAGUGGACGCAUCACUGGUGUUCGGGUUGUCAUGCCAAUGGCAUUGCCCGGUAGCUAAAUGCGGAAAAGAUAAGUGCUGAAAGCAUCUAAGCACGAAACUUGCCCCGAGAUGAGUUCUCCCUGACUCCCUGAGAGUCCUGAAGGAACGUUGAAGACUACGACGUUGAUAGGCUGGGUGUGUAAGCGUAGCGAUACGUUGAGCUAACCAGUACUAAUGAACCGUGAGGCUUAACCUU